rnacentral:rRNA from 1 species
UACGAAGGGGGCUAGCGUUGCUCGGAAUUACUGGGCGUAAAGCGCACGUAGGCGGCUCUUUAAGUCGGGGGUGAAAUCCUGGAGCUCAACUCCAGAACUGCCUUCGAUACUGAAGAGCUUGAGUCCGGGAGAGGUGAGUGGAACUGCGAGUGUAGAGGUGAAAUUCGUAGAUAUUCGGAAGAACACCAGUGGCGAAGGCGGCUCACUGGCCCGGUACUGACGCUGAGGUGCGAAAGCGUGGGGAGCAAACAGG